CUGCCACGUGUCACAAUAAAUGAAACGCGGCGUCUCAAGCUUUGUGUUACCGUGUGGGCUUGAUUUCGAUGUGUGCAGAUGCUGUGUAAAUGGGAUUUUUGAUUGCUAAGGCCCUGGAAGAGGGAGAUGUCGUUGACCUAAUGUUUGCUUCGUCUCUCUGGCUACGGCGGCGAUACGACGAACGACUGUCGUCGGUUUCAUGUAACGCUUCGCGAGUCAACUCGCAUUAAUACCGACGCCCACUAAGAGACUUUCAAUGCGUUGUCCUUCUGGGAGAUCCCUAAUCUUCGUAUAUAUAUAUAUAGGGUGUUUUUUUCGAUUUGAAGUCCGGGAGGCGUCGUUCAGUUGUGGAGGCCAGGCUGCUGAGAUACUGGGAGGCUAGGAAUGUCAAGCCUGGGGCGAGCUUAUGUGGUUGGAUAUGCUCAUGAUCAAUGUUAAUAUAGACAAAUAUCAGAUUCACCAAAAGUCAUACCGAAAUUUAGGGUUCAUGUUUUCUUCAAUAUCUGCCACCAACAAUGUUCUUCUUCUCUCUUAUACCAACGAUGGAGUUUUGAGUUACUGUGAGUCAAAUCAACGUGAAAAAUCUCUGUGUGAGUCUUCUGAGUGUAUGGUGACCCGUCUUCCUCGCUUCUGGGAGGGUCGCAAUGUCAAGAAAGGAGGGGAUUUUAUAGGGGUUGGCAUUGUCUUUCUUGACGAGAAGUCACACUUAACUCAAGGAACGGUGUACGAGCUUUAUUGAUUUUCGGGGAUCAAGGCGGACGUAGAUCUCUGAAUGUGGUUGCAAUGGUUCUCAUCAGCAACUACAAAAUGACCAUCCUCAACUGCACCCUCGGGUUCACUUAAAACUUCAUUAUAUUCAGCUCCAUGUGCCUGUCAAGUUCUUUCUUUUGUUUACGAAGGUGCAGAGAUGUAUAAGAGACUACUAAUCACCCUAGGGUGAAGUUCACAGAUUUAGAAUGUUGUCUGGUGCGUGCUCUGAAGAAUUGUGUUGUAUCAGCUGAAGUUUAGCUGCUUGGUGGAGCUUCUUUGGGUGUGAUAAAGCUGUGAGAUCUAGAAGAUAUAAAGAGUUAGUUGAUAAAUUUCAUGCUCUCCUUUUAAAAAGUUGUUACUCCUUAUUGUCAAUUUGGACUAUGGGUGUUUUUUUUGAACAUAUCUAUCAUUUACUUUAAAUUAAUGAGAUCCACCAUUUUGAAUC